CCUACGGGAGGCAGCAGUGAGGAAUAUUGGUCAAUGGGCGGAAGCCUGAACCAGCCAAGUCGCGUGAGGGAGUAAGGCUCUACGGGUCGUAAACCUCUUUUGCCGGGGAGUAGUGCCCAGCUCGUGAGCUGGGAGGGAGCGUACCCGGAGAAAAAGCAUCGGCUAAAUCCGUGCCAGCAGCCGCGGUAAUACGGAGGAUGCGAGCGUUACCCGGAUUUAUUGGGUUUAAAGGGUGCGUAGGCGGUGCUUCAGGCCGGCGGUAAAAUUGGGGGGACCAACCACGGCGGGGCCGUGGGACCCGGGGGCCUUGAGUACCGGAGAGGUACGCGGAAUGCGUGGUGUAGCGGUGAAAUGCAUAGAUAUCACGCAGAACCCCGAUUGCGAAGGCAGCGUACCGGCCGGUAACUGACGCUGAGGCACGAAAGCGCGGGUAUCGAACAGGAUUAGAUACCCUUGUAGUC
rnacentral:rRNA from 1 species